GAUGAACGCUGACAGAAUGCUUAACACAUGCAAGUCUACUUGAAUUUGGGUUUUUAACUUAGAUUUGGGUGGCGGACGGGUGAGUAACGCGUAAAGAACUUGCCUCACAGCUAGGGACAACAUUUAGAAAUGAAUGCUAAUACCUAAUAUUAUGAUAAUAGGGCAUCCUAUAAUUAUGAAAGCUAUAUGCGCUGUGAGAGAGCUAUGCGUCCCAUUAGCUAGUUGGAGAGGUAACGGCUCACCAAGGCGAUGAUGGGUAGCCGGCCUGAGAGGGUGAUCGGCCACAAGGGGACUGAGACACGGCCCUUACUCCUACGGGAGGCAGCAGUGGGGAAUAUUGGACAAUGGACCGAGAGUCUGAUCCAGCAAUUCUGUGUGCACGAUGAAGUUUUUCGGAAUGUAAAGUGCUUUCAGUUGGGAAGAAAGAAAUGACGGUACCAACAGAAGAAGUGACGGCUAAAUACGUGCCAGCAGCCGCGGUAAUACGUAUGUCACGAGCGUUAUCCGGAUUUAUUGGGCGUAAAGCGCGUCUAGGUGGUUAUAUAAGUCUGAUGUGAAAAUGCAGGGCUCAACUCUGUAUUGCGUUGGAAACUGUAUAACUAGAGUACUGGAGAGGUAAGCGGAACUAUAAGUGUAGAGGUGAAAUUCGUAGAUAUUUGUAGGAAUGCCGAUGGGGAAGCCAGCUUACUGGACAGAUACUGACGCUGAAGCGCGAAAGCGUGGGUAGCAAACAGG
rnacentral:rRNA from 1 species